GGGGAAUAUUGCACAAUGGGCGCAAGCCUGAUGCAGCCAUGCCGCGUGUAUGAAGAAGGCCUUCGGGUUGUAAAGUACUUUCAGCGAGGAGGAAGGCGUUAAGGUUAAUAACCUUGGCGAUUGACGUUACUCGCAGAAGAAGCACCGGCUAACUCCGUGCCAGCAGCCGCGGUAAUACGGAGGGUGCAGGCGUUAAUCGGAAUUACUGGGCGUAAAGCGCACGCAGGCGGUCUGUUAAGUCAGAUGUGAAAUCCCCGGGCUCAACCUGGGAACUGCAUUUGAAACUGGCAGGCUUGAGUCUUGUAGAGGGGGGUAGAAUUCCAGGUGUAGCGGUGAAAUGCGUAGAGAUCUGGAGGAAUACCGGUGGCGAAGGCGGCCCCCUGGACAAAGACUGACGCUCAGGUGCGAAAGCGUGGGGAGCAAAC
rnacentral:rRNA from 1 species